CAAAUUUUUCUACAUUUAUUCCAAGGCACAGUUCAUCUUUAAUACUGACAACAUAUAUGCAUAGACAACAGAGAAAAUAUUAUGUAGCUUUUUUCACAAAAAUAUCUCUGAUAUUAUGUAUUAUUUUCACUGCUCGUUUCUAUAUAUAGAACAUGUAUGUAAUUCUUUCCACUGGAAUUUAAGCAAACAACAAUCAUCUAUUAAAAUGUAGGUAAAACAGUUAAAUUAAAUCCUUGUGAAGAUCAAAGCAAGUACUAACCUUUAAAAUAUCAUUAUUUGAUGAUUUAUCAUUAAAUGCUAUAAUUCAAUAUUCAAUAAUUAAAUAUAAAGCUGCACUUUGACAUAUAAUGAUUUGCUUUUUACAAAUUGUGACUUGAAUAGAGAGUUGUCUAAUUUGGAACUCAUACCACAUCUUCUUAUAUCUUUAUUUAGUAAAAAGAAACUACAUUCCAUUCACUCAAUAGCCAUCUUCUCGUCCUCUGGUAAUGUGUGUCUAGGUUGAAAUUCAAUAUGUGUACACCUUGAUCUAGCUUUUUAUGUCAAAAGUUAGAAUUUCGAAAGAUAUAUUUCAAAUCUGUGGAGAUAUUCCAUUUAACUCAAAACACAUGAUUUAUAAAAAAUUAAGAUCCUGGCACUACAAGGUUUACUGAUAUAAAAAUGAAAAUGUGUUCAAAAAUAUUGGAAUAUUGGUUUGUUAAUCUAAAAAUCUUACAAAACUUAUCAGAUCUAUAGCGAAAGACUAAUGUACCUACAAUCAAACAAACAAAUUUAAAAAGUUGAAAACAAUCAAAUAAACAAAUACUUGGUUAGAACAAGAAUGGACAAUAAUAAUAAGUACAUUCAUUCUUGUAUCAUAAAUAUAUAUAACUACGUAUAAACAUAACUUUAUUUAAAUAAAAAUAAAAUUGUCUAAAAAAAUAAACAAAAUAAUUUAGAUGCAUAAAAAUAUAAUAUAAAUAUAAUAAUCACAGAUUAAGUAUUUAAUUCAUUUAAAACAGCAAAGACACAAAAAUGUCUCACCUGUUUAAAGAAUAUGAUAUGUACAAAUAAAUAUACCAAGAAAAUAAAGAAAUGGGUCGAAGACAAAAAUAAAGCAUUUUCAAGAUAAUAAAACUAAAUAAAAGACAUAUUCAUGAUCAUAUUGCUGUAUAAAUACAGCCCCCCCCCCUCCAAAAACAAUAUUCAAUAAAUAUAGACUGAUACCAUCUGCAGAUGGCUAAACACUGGAUCAGAUUUAACACAUUCAACAUCCUAUAAAAUGAAAUAAUCUUUCUUAAAGAUUUUCAUCAAGGCACAAAUAAACAGUAUAUCACAGAUAAUAUAUAUAAAACAGUAUCAAUCACAGCUAAAUAUUAAAAAAUAAUUGUAGACACUUUUUUGGCAGUAACUUUUGGAAAGCAUAAUCAAAAAUGUACUAAUAUAAAUAUAUAGACCUAUUGAUGAAGAAUCAGUUAUUUUUUUCAAUACUUGCCAUUGGGUAGUGCUUGAAGUUUUAAACCAAUAACUUAAUGUCAAGAAAUGUACUGACUUCAAAGUCCUGUCUGAAAUUUUAAAAUUAUCCCACUAUAUGAAAGUUUACACCUGAAACCAAGUCAAGUUUAAACAUCAAGAAGUAUUUUUCCCCCCUACUUUAAAUGUAAUCUGUUGCAAUCUAAUACUUAAUGAUAAAAAAA
rnacentral:lncRNA from 1 species